rnacentral:rRNA from 1 species
UACGGGGGGGGCAAGCGUUGUUCGGAAUUACUGGGCGUAAAGGGCUCGUAGGCGGCCAACUAAGUCGGAUGUGAAAUCCCCAGGCUUAACCUGGGAACUGCAUCCGAUACUGGAUGGCUUGAAUCCGGGAGAGGGAUGCGGAAUUCCAGGUGUAGCGGUGAAAUGCGUAGAUAUCUGGAGGAACACCGGUGGCGAAGGCGGCGACCUGGGUAGAUACUGACGCUGAGGUGCGAAAGCGUGGGGAGCAAACAGG